GUGCCUUAAACUAAUGAGUAAGGAAAAUAUUAAGCCAUGGUAACGCUUGGCUUUACCUGGCAUAUUUUGUCUAGGACUUAAUAAUUUUUGUAGAGGUCCAGGUCGUCCUCUAGAGUGGUCUAUCUACUUUAUAGACUAUUCGAGUGAUAGCGAUCUGCCUC